UAGGGGGCAAGCGUUAUCCGGUAUUAUUGGGUGUAAAGGGUGCGUAGAUGGAGAAGCAAGUUGGUUGUGAAAUCCCUCGGCUCAACUGAGGAACUGCAACCAAAACUACUUCCCUUGAGUGUCGGAGAGGAAAGUGGAAUUCCUAGUGUAGCGGUGAAAUGCGUAGAUAUUAGGAGGAACACCAGUGGCGAAGGCGACUUUCUGGACGAUAACUGACAUUGAGGCACGAAAGUGUGGGGAGCAAA
rnacentral:rRNA from 1 species